GUACAUUUGCAUACAUUUGUACAAAACAAAAAUAAGUCUCAAAUCGAAGAUUACAUUAAUGGCUCGAUCCUUUAAACUAUUUGUUACUAUGUUCCUUUUGUUGGUCCUCCUUACUUCUACGGAGAUGGGUCCAAUGAUGUUUGGAGAAUCAAAUAACUGUUAUAAUAAUUCCAAGCUUUGCGUGACCGCUAAAACUUGCACUAAUUUUUGCAAAAAACGGCGCUAUAAAGGAGGUGGAUGCUUAGUAGAAUUUAAUUGCUGCUGCUUUCCACCGGGUGUAAUACAAUGGUGGUGGUGAUUAUGGAGAUUUAUCUAUUUACUAUUAUGUCGAGUUGAGUGUGAGAGCGUGUGAAUUUUGAUUUGUAUAAAUAAGAUUGCAGUAUAAAUAUUAAAUAAUACACUUUUUAUAGUA